CUUUUUGCAGCUUGAUGGAAUUGGAUUGAAAGUGUGUUUGUUCAUAUGAAAUUGCACUGAACUUUGCAGGUUUGUUCUAGUUUGAUGCGGCUGAAAUUGAAUUGAUGCAUGGUUGAAUUGUGAAGGUCUGUUGCAGGUUUGUAUGUUGACCUGCCUUGCUUGAUGUUUGUGCAUGUUUUGGAAUGCAUUGUUGUAAAUUUGGUGAUGGCAAUAUGGUGAAGGUUGGUUGGAAUGAGUGAUGCAUUGCAGAAUUGAGGGUAUUUGGCUAUGGACAGCAGGGCAUUUGGUACAGGAAACAAUGUGGACUAUUUGUCCAUGUAUUUGGAUGUCGCAGAUUCAACUAGUUUGCCCUAUGGUUGGAGUAGAUAUGCACAGUUUAGCUUGGCAAUUGUUAAUCAAAUCCAUAAUAAGUUUUCUGUGAGAAAAGUUAUUUCAACUUGCGAGUUUGUGUUCCGUUGUUCUUUGUUGUCGAGUUGCUCCUCUGCAAAAAGCCGGUAUUGUUUCCCUUGUGAAGAAGAGAACAUCUGACAUGACACUAGCCAUUGGAGACGGUGCUAAUGAUGUUUCAAUGAUUCAAAUGGCUGAUGUCGGAGUCGGCAUCAGUGGACAAGAGGGCAGGCAAGCUGUAAUGUCAUCAGAUUUCGCAAUGGGACAGUUUAGGUUUUUAGUUCCUCUCUUGUUGGUUCAUGGUCACUGGAAUUACC